rnacentral:rRNA from 1 species
AGUGAACGCUGGCGGUAGGCCUAACACAUGCAAGUCGAACGGCAGCACAGGAGAGCUUGCUCUCUGGGUGGCGAGUGGCGGACGGGUGAGGAAUACAUCGGAAUCUACUCUGUCGUGGGGGAUAACGUAGGGAAACUUACGCUAAUACCGCAUACGACCUACGGGUGAAAGCAGGGGACCUUCGGGCCUUGCGCGAUUGAAUGAGCCGAUGUCGGAUUAGCUAGUUGGCGGGGUAAAGGCCCACCAAGGCGACGAUCCGUAGCUGGUCUGAGAGGAUGAGCCGCCACACUGGAACCGAGACACUGUCAAGCCACCUCAGGGAGGCAGCAGUGGGGAAUAUUGGACAAUGGGCGCAAGCCUGUUUCAGCCAUACCGCGUGGGUGAAGAAGGACUUCGGGUUGUAAAGGCCUUUUGUUGGGAAAGAAAUCCAGCUGGCUAAUACCCGGUUGGGAUGACGGUACCCAAAGAAUAAGCACCGGCUAACUGCGUGCCAGCCGCCGCCGUAA